AUUGAACGCUGGCGGCAGGCCUAACACAUGCAAGUCGAACGAGUGGCGGACGGGUGAGUAAUGUCUGGGAAACUGCCCGAUGGCGGGGGAUAACUACUGGAAACGGUAGCUAAUACCGCAUACCAUCAGAUGUGCCCAGCUGGGAUUAGCUAGGAGGUGGGGGAACGGCUCACCUAGGCGACGAUCCCUAGCUGGGAUGAGAGGAUGACCAGCCACACUGGAACUGAGACACGGUCCAGACUCCUACGGGAGGCAGGAGUGGGGAAUAUUGCACAAUGGGCGCAAGCCUGAUGCAGCCAUGCCGCGUGUGUGAAGAAGGCCUUCGGGUUGUAAAGUACUUUCAGCGAGGAGGCGUUACUCGCAGAAGAAGCACCGGCUAACUCCGUGCCAGCAGCCGCGGUAAUUC
rnacentral:rRNA from 1 species